GGACCCGUAGCUCAGUGGUAGAGCGUGAGAUUCCAGUCUGAUCAUGGACGUGCUUCCUCAAGGUCAUCCGUUCAAUCCGGGUCGGGUUCA
rfam:Agaricus bisporus var. burnettii JB137-S8 unplaced genomic scaffold AGABI1scaffold_28, whole genome shotgun sequence.